GUAGGUGGCAAGCGUUGUCCGGAAUUAUUGGGCGUAAAGCGCGCGCAGGCGGUUCUUUAAGUCUGAUGUGAAAGCCCACGGCUCAACCGUGGAGGGUCAUUGGAAACUGGAGAACUUGAGUACAGAAGAGGAAAGCGGAAUUCCACGUGUAGCGGUGAAAUGCGUAGAGAUGUGGAGGAACACCAGUGGCGAAGGCGGCUUUCUGGUCUGUAACUGACGCUGAGGCGCGAAAGCGUGGGGAGCAAACAGGGAUUAGAUACCCUGGUAGUCCACGCCGUAAACGAUGAGCGCUAAGUGUUAGGGGGUUUCCGCCCCCUUAGUGCUGCAGCUAACGCAUUAAGCACUCCGCCUGGGGAGUACGGCCGCAAGGCUA
rnacentral:rRNA from 1 species